ACCUACGGGGGGCAGCAGUGGGGAAUAUUGGGCAAUGGACGCAAGUCUGACCCAGCAACGCCGCGUGAAGGAAGAAGGCUUUCAGGUUGUAAACUUCUCUUAAGGGGGAAGAGCAGAAGACGGUACCCCUUGAAUAAGCCACGGCUAACUACGUGCCAGCAGCCGCGGUAAUACGUAGGUGGCAAGCGUUGUCCGGAUUUACUGGGUGUAAAGGGCGUGCAGCCGGGAAGACAAGUCAGAUGUGAAAUCCCGCGGCUCAACCGCGGAACUGCAUUUGAACCUGUUUUUCUUGAGUAUCGGAGAGG
rnacentral:rRNA from 1 species